UCUGUAAUAGGCAGAUGUCCAUAUCUACUUUUGCUGUAGAAGAGGAAGCAGUGUAACAGCUCUCUGGAGGGAGUAUCCCAGGAGAACACCUAUUUUCUCGGGGCUGGGGGCUGAGAUGUAGCCCCUGGCUGGAGAGAGGACAUCCAUGCUGGAUUUCCAGUUCCUGUUUGAAAAUCUGGGUGACCUUUACUGCUCCAGCAGUGCCUGUGCAAACAGAGAUCCCCACCCUGAACUUUGAUUUACACUCAACUAGUAAAAAGAAAAAUACUGUAAUUAAAGCAUCAAGAAAUAGGUACACAGAAGAAAAGUGUCUGUAGCUCUGCAACAAAGUUCAGCUGCAUAUUCUCAGGUUACAGAGUCUAUCCCCAUAGGGCACUUUUUCUCCUGCCUGUUUCAUGGUGCUGUGUCUGGGCUUUGCAAUAACUGUUGUGUGGGACAAACCAUUACAUCUUUGUAUUACGGGCAUUUGUGUCCAGCCUCGAAACGUUAUUUCGUUCCCUGAGGUGAAUGCUGUUAUCAGGAGAAUGAAGUGUCCCAGUCCCCUGGUAAUUAUUCAUUAGGUAAGAUGUAAUGUGUGCGUGCAGAGUUCACUGUGGAUCCCACAGGAGAGGUCUGUGAGCCGAGCUUAUGUCAGCUUUAGGGUAGGGAUGGGUGAGUAACCAGAGAAAAACAACAAAACUAGAUCAGGAGCAGUCUGACCAAAACUUAACCCAAAACCUUUUCUUUUCAUCUCAAGGCUAAACUUACCAUUGAGUUCAGAAGGCUGGGAAGACUCCAGGUCAAUUUGCACCCACAUCUAGAACAAAUCACAGCUGCACUGAGGCAAAGCAAUGUUUGGGAUCACAAACCUGUGACUGUUCUACCCAUUGAGGAAUCCAGGCCCUUUCUUUCUUCUGGCUGGGAGCACCCGAAUAACGAAGGACCUGCUCCAGCAGGAAAGAGUACCCAUGUCCAUCCCAUACCCCUGACAGCUCAGCCCCGAUUGCUCAUCUGUUUCCAAGUACAGCUGAGACAUUUUGCUGGUGGGCAGAGAAGUCAGGGACUCUGCAUCCAGCACCCUGCAGCAGAGGAAGCAUUAGUAUUGCUGUUGUUAGCCUUGUUAUUUUCUCCUAAUAAAAAGGUGGUCGUGACUCACUCCAUU
rnacentral:lncRNA from 1 species